UACGGAGGGGACUAGCGUUGCUCGGAAUCACUGGGCGUAAAGCGCACGUAGGCGGAUUGUUAAGUCAGGGGUGAAAUCCUGGAGCUCAACUCCAGAACUGCCUUUGAUACUGGCGAUCUCGAGUCCUGGAGAGGAAGGUGGAAUGCUUGGUGUAGAGGUGAAAUUCGUAGAUAUCAAGCGGAACACCGGUGGCGAAGGCGGCCUUCUGGACAGUGACUGACGCUGAGACGCGAAAGCGUGGGGAGCAAACAGG
rnacentral:rRNA from 1 species